CGCGCACUGUACAGCGGCAUCAGCCGCUUGUAGGACAUGUCCAGCAGCUGGUCCAGGUCCACGCCACGGAAGUGCAACUGGACAGCACUGACCCAGAGACAGGGGUUAAAAUGGACCUUCCUUCCUAUCAAGCCAUGGACUAAUGAUUAAGGAGUGGGACCAUUUAUCAGACCUGUCUAGUCUAUGAAUUCCACCCCAAGGGCCACAGUUGUGCACGGGCAUUGAGCCAAUCCCUGGACUUCUGCUGGCACGUGGGAGGAAGGACUCUCUCUUUCCAUGAGGAUUGCUGAGAGGAAGCCUAGGGCUGCCAGCAAUCAUCCUGCCACCGCACGGGAGGUGCACACCUGAAUGAAGGUAACAGCCGCAGAGAGCAAAGCCCACAUGGAGGAGCCAGGACAGGAUGGGGACAACAAGGCUUGAGCCCCUAGAUCCGGGCAUGCCUGGCCUUUUAGGCCGAGGACACUAGAAAGGUCAAGACAGCAGAGUGGGUUUCAAAGUGCUGAGUCCCUGUGCAAUAGGGCCCCUUCACAGCGCCCAGGGCCCAGCUCUCUACGUCCCUGAUAAACUACAGCAUGCAGGUCUCCAUGUAUCCUUUAUGAACUUCAUGAAAAUCUUGACUUGAUUCAAAUGCGUUUCUUGGAGGAAGAAUGCUUUCAGUGGCUGCAGUGUGCCAGGGUAGACUGAAGUCAGUUUCAAUUCAUUACAAACACAGUGCCAGCUCUGAGGAUGCCUCAGCUCAGAAGAGGUACGUAUUGAUAGCCAACACCCAGGGGGAAUGUGAUGCUGACCAGUGCUGUGGGUGCCAGCGCACUCGUCUGCAUCAAACCAUCACCUCGCAGUCACACCUACAGUUCUUUGCACUCAAUGCAAAGCUAUGGCCCAGGAUUGGGGGAGCAGCGUGUGCUAAGACACAGGUUAGGAGCCAUAUUCCCCAAGCAGUGGUGGCUACAUUCAUUUCUGGGAAAGCUCAGCAAAGAAAUGUGACCCCAGGGACACCUAAAUUUGGACUUUUUCUGUAUGAACACUUGGAAGAUUUGUAGCGUUUUAUAAAACUUGUAUUCAAUUAAAAUGUGUUUCAAUGAUCUCUGUAUUUUGCCAAGCUUAAUUACAUAUGGGUAUUAAACUUAAUUGUCUGAAUUUCUUCCAUUCUUAUUUGAGUCUGUGAAUAAACAAAUACCCUGUAAGGCACUGUGUGUGUGUGUGUGUGUGUGUGUGUGUGUGUGUGUGCAUAUAUAUAUAUAUAUAUAUAUGUAUGUAUCAACAUCAAUUUGAACUUUGACCAGUCCCCUACUAGUGAAAGUUUAAAUUUUCAGUAUUUUAUGUUUUCAAC
rnacentral:lncRNA from 1 species